UUUUUUUUUUUUUUUUUUUUCCCCCAGAAAGACUCCUCUCUGUGGUGGGCUAAGUCUUGAUGGUGUGCGAUCAUGACUUUAAGAUUCUUAGGAGCCCUAUUUUCUGGUUAAAAAAAUCUUUAAACCAUUCAAUUAUAUUUGUCUGGUUGAAGGCCUGUCAUAAAUGCUUCCGAGGUGUCAGGAAAGGGAGCUGCAAAUGCACCACUGAAAUGAACUUUACCCUCCUGUUACGUGUUACCGGAAAUAUUCUGAGUUCGCGUUUUGGUCUGAUGCCGUUUCUUAUUUUGAGAAACUUUUUGCAGGCUUCAAAGACUGGAGAUGAUAAACACUUCUAUUUUUGAGCCGAAUAGGUCCUAACUCUUGUUUGUCCUCUAAAUUCUAUAAAACAUUGAAUAUUGCCUUUUUUUAGCUCAUUCUUUCUUUUUCUAGAUCUUAUCCUCUGCAUCUAACAGAAACCAAUUGGCACGUUCAGCAUUCUGCCUGGAAAUUUCCUUAGCCUGAUGUAUCUGUAUUUUCUGCAUUACUAUAGCAUGCUAUCACUAAACUUUGUGUUACUAAAAGGUUUCCUGUGACCUAGUUUCUGAAUUUCCGAAUAUCACUUCUGCAUUCUGUCAAGUCAGUCACUACAGCCAUCUCAGAUUGACAGAAAGAGGAACUAAACCCCUGCCUCUUGAUCUGUGAGCGAACAUGCAUGUGAAGCAACAGAAGGAGCUUACUGUGGUCAUCUUGGGAAAUCGUGUACCACAUCAGGAAAAUAAAAUUUUCCAGAAAUCCUUAGCAUACUUUUCUCAUUGGCCAGAAUUGUUUCCUAGUUUGGUAGAGGAACAGUUACAGAAACUAGGAAUUGUGGGCUUUUUCUUUUUUGUUAAUAGAGGAUUAAGAAAAUGCAGAGAAUUAACAGUCGUAGCAGUUUUAAAAUCCUGUUGAUCAGACGUAGCAAGGGCUUCCUGAACUAGUGGUGGAAUGAGCUCAAGCCAGCCAAUCUUUUACUCUCUCAUCCCAUUUUUGUGGUCUCUGACUCGCCCUCUGAGAUGCCACACAGAUCUGAAUCUUCAGGCUCUUGUACAGUCUUAAAAAAUAAUCGCAUGUGGUUUUGCGUUGUGGGAUUGUAGGAAUAAUUUCAUACCUUUUUAGUAGAGCGAUGACUUGCAGGAGUUGACAGUCCAGACUACAUGUUUGGUCACCAUAGUUCUGUCACGACAUUAAUGGGUUUACAUAUGUUUCAUCCCUAUCCUGCAGGUGUAACUAUAGCUAAAGAUGCUAUCUAGUCAAGGUUUUUAACCUUGGAUAUUGUCUUUAUUGACUGGCCAUUACCUUCUCUCCCUGCUUUAACUUAAUGGUUAUUGCCGUGUUGUAAUUUAAAAUCAUAUAUUUUGGGGAAGGCUAAAUCCUUUAUUUCAUUUUUAUUUUUAUAUUUUUAUUUUUUUUAUUUUUUUUUGCUUUCAUACCAGUUGCAUUUACCUGUUUAUCUACUAGUUUUAUCUCUUACGAAGUUUGCUGCUUUGCUGUCUUGCAAUGGCUUCAAUUUAGGAUGUGAACCAUGUUUUUAUUUUUUAGCCUUCCAAGGCUUCAAAGUACAGGAUGCUCUGGCAAUACAGAUGCCAAACUCUAAGGAGAGAGUGCUGGUCUUAUCAAAGUGGUAUUUCCUCCUCUCUCUGCUUCCAAGCCGUGUCUGUCUGCCUUUCACCUGGGUUCACCUAGCUCUUGUAGAAUUUUCGUAAAGGUAGAUAGCCAGUACUAGCCAACAUUCUGAUCAGUCUCACUCUUUCCAACGAUACAGACUUAGUCACUGUAUAGUUUGUUUUCAGAGUUCAGAUGACUAUUUAACCAAAUACUUCCCAUUGUGUAUAAAGUGUGACCAGUUUUCUAGUGUCAAGCAUCUAAAACCUGAAUUUUCAUCUCUAUCAAGUCAGUCCCACAUUUUAGUUCCUGUUACUUAUAGCAACCUAUUUCUAGUAACAAUUACUGAACCAAUUGCAGCACUUAUGUGCAAGAACAAUCCAUUUUAAACCAUUUAAUGAGUAACAGUUGAUAAAUCCCCAGAAGAGCCAGAGAAAAACUGUUCAAAGGGAAACAUCACCUAACAUCUAGGACACUAGGAACUAGAUGACAAACAGAUAGCUGGCCCAGAAAAACAUACUUCUGUGAUUCUACAUGCUGUGAUGGCUACAUGCUUGAGGGCCCUGCUCAAAGGCUAAGUGGGUUCCAGUGUAUUGCCACAUUUCUGUUUGAUAUCGCAAACCAGUCUGGGGACUGCAGUUUUUAGCUUUAUAGUCAGUUGUACAGAAAGGCAAACUAAAAACUAUGUAAUAAUGGGUAUUGAAUAAGCAAAUACAUAAAAUCUGUCACAUUUGGUUUUUAUUUGUAUUUUUCCUUUCCUGUUGAGAGCAACAUCAAAAUGGCAAAUAUAACAUAAAUAGGUUCAGCACUCAGACUUAAGUGGCAUCUACACUCCACUAGCUGUGGUCAUAGAUAUUACUUAAUUUUUACAAACCUCAGUAUGCCUAUUCUGAAAAACUGAGAUGAUAUAAGCUCAAUGAGAUGACUAUCUAGGAUAGUGCAAAUAGUUGUUAGCAUAGUGUCUGAAUGAAAACAUUUCUCACUAAGUAGUAGCUAUUGCUAUUAUAUAUUGGUUCCACUUUGAAGCAAUCUUCUACCUUAGUUUUUUUCUCAAUUUGGAAUUUUUACAAUAUUUAUUUUCAAAAGGUACUUUAGGGUUUUGAAGUCUACUCUUAGAAUGAGAUAUGGCUUAAAUAAAUACAAGUAAUUCGGAGUAUUAAAAUAUUGAAAAGGUUGCAUGAGAAUUCAAAACUUUGAAAGCAUCUUAGGAUUUUUCAGGGAGAGUUAUAAAGAUCUGUAAAAAGCUUAUCAUACCUCAUAUUUCUCUUUGAAUUAUGGAUAAUGUUAUUAAGUCUUAAUAUUUAGUUACUAAUCACAAAAUAUUUUAAGCACAUAUUAUGUGCUAGUCACUCUGCCUAAAGGUGAAAAGACUGACAAGAUCUUUACUGCAUAGUUUAUAUUCCAGUAAGGGAGACAAACAGUAAACCAUUCACAAACAGGUAAAAUAAUUACUGAUUGUGGUAAGUACUAUGAAGGAAAUAAUGUAGUUGCUAUGUUAGAAAAGUAUUGGUAGGGGCAGGGUAAGCCACUUAACACAGAAUUUAAGAAAUGCUUCCCAAAGAGGGUACAUUUAAACUGAGACCGUGAGGAAUGAAGAGACCCAGUAUAUAAAAAACUAGUGGGAAAGCAUUCCAGGGAUUUUGCAAUCUCAAAAUUCCCUAAAUGGAAACUAAUUUGAGCCAUUCGAGAAACUGAGAGAACCAGGUUGCCUAGGGUUUAGUGAGCUCGUGGGAGAGACAAGUACAAAGUUAGAAAGACAACAUGGGCCAGAUUAUGCAGUUACAAAGGCCUGGCAAGAAGUUUGAGUUUUAUUAUAACCGAAAUGCAAAUGGGAAGCUAUAGAAGGGAUUAAAAUAGGAAGUGAUUUAAUCUAAUUUGUGUUUAAAAAGAUCCCUUUGGCUGUUAUACAGAGACUACCCUGGAGUGAGUCCAGAGAAAAUUAGAGAAACUAGUUAAGAGGCUCUUGAAAUAGGUGGUGUGCAGGUGAUAAGAGAUGAAUGGAUCUAAGUAAGUGAUAUGUAAUACAGUUUAGAUACACAAAAAUUGGAGCUACUGAUGGUUUGGGUGAGGGAGAUUAAGAAAAGGGGAGAAGUCAAAAUGACUCCCCAUUUUCUUCAAUAAUCAUGUCAGUUGUGGUAUUCUAACAAGAUAGGUCAGAUUAACAAAAGAUUAUGUUUGAAGUAAGUACUUUUCUUCUGGGGUGACCAAUAAAUCAAGAUUUUCAUCAUAAGAUUUCAGUGAGUUGGGUAAGUAAGGGUGUCAAGUAGACAGUUGCACAGGUAUCUAAAUCUGUGGUUCUUGGAAUGCCUGGCUGACUCAGUUAGUAGGACAUUGCAACUCUUGAUCUCAAGGUUGUGAGUCAAGACCCAUGUUGGGUAGAGAAUACUUAAAAUACAUUUAAAAAAUUUUAAAAAGCUGUGGCUCUUAGAUCAAGAUAAAAAUAUUGUGUGUUGUUGAGGUAAGACAGUAUUUAUCAAGGGGUAAAAAUGGAAUCACCUAGGUAGAUUGUAUAGACUUAGGAGAAGUCAUAAGAUCAUUGUCUAAGAAACCUCAAUAUACAGAGUUUGUGAAGAGUUCUCAUUUAUGUGAUUAUGGAAAAUGUAUAUGAAUGUGUCUGCGUGAGUAAUAUUUGAUUUUGGAAAAAAAAAAAAAAAACUCAUGGGGAUGGGUGGGAGUCCCUGGUUACAUAUGGUGAGCAUGUAGAUUUACAAGAGUAGAGGGCCCCAGACUGGUCUCUGAGAAACUUCAAACUUAAAGAUUUGGUGGAGCUGGAUAUACAAAAGAAUUUGAAAAGAGAAGAGAAGAGAAGAGAAGAGAAGAGAAGAGAAGAGA
rnacentral:lncRNA from 1 species